rnacentral:rRNA from 1 species
AUACGGAGGAUCCGAGCGUUAUCCGGAUUUAUUGGGUUUAAAGGGUGCGCAGGCGGCCAUUUAAGUCAGCGGUUAAAUCGUGGGGCUCAACCCCAUUCUGCCGUUGAUACUGGGUGGCUUGAUUGCGGUCGAGGUUGGCGGAAUUCGUUGUGUAGCGGUGAAAUGCAUAGAUAUGACGAAGAACACCGAUUGCGUAGGCAGCUGGCCAGACCGCAAAUGACGCUCAUGCACGAAAGUGCGGGGAUCGAACAGGGUUAGAUAACCUGGUAGUCCGCACAGUAAACGAUGAAUACUUGUUUUCGGCGAUAUAAUGUCGGAGGCAAAGCGAAAGCGAUAAGUAUUCCACCUGGGGAGUACGCCGGCAACGGGGAAACUCAAAGGAAUUGACGGGG